rnacentral:lncRNA from 1 species
GCUCGGCGCUCUGGCGCCGCUCGGUGUUCGGUUGCCCCCUGUGGCGAGCGAGUGACGGGAGGGACCUGGUCCCAGCCCGUUCACCCCCCGCCGGCGACAUGUCCACCGCCAUGAACUUCAGCAGCAAAAGCUUCAAGCCGCGGCCGCCGGACAAGGGCGCCUUCCCGCUGGAUCAUUUCGGGGAGUGCAGCGCCUUCAAGGAGCGGUUCAUGGAGUGCCUCCGCGACAGCGGCUACGAGAGCGGUGCCUGCCGGCAGCGCGCCAUGGCCUACCUGGAGUGCCGCAUGGAGAGGCAACUUAUGGCUAAUGAACCACUGGAAAAAUUGGGAUUUAAAGACCUGAUUGAUGAGAAAUCAGAAGCAAAACAAGAAAAGUUGUGAUGAAGACGGACAUCUUCACUCCUCAUGUAUGGAAGGCAUAACUCUUAAUAUAGUACAUAUUGUACGUUCUGUUCAUAUUGCACUAGGAAGUGUUUCCUGAAGGAACCUUUUUCAAGGUCUAAUUUUCCUAAAAUAAGAUUAUUUUUUAAAAAAAUGAGCAAAAGUACUGCCUUUGUCUGCUUUCCUCAAGUAUUCUUUUUUCCCUUUUAAUUUCUCUAGCCUACUUUUAAAGAUCCAUAAGAACCUGGAGAAAACAGUUACUGCCUGAAGUGUUUUCCAUGUCUCUAAGAACGGUGAAGUCUUAAAAAGACAAAACAAACCCCUUUAUCGUGUAGAUAUUGAACUACAGAUUAAUCUAACGUGGACAUUACUAAUGUGCUUACAGCAGUUACUUGUCAGGUGGAAAUAAAGCUGUUGCGGUACUUGCAAAUUGCUUUUUGUUAAACACCCAUCUUUGGGUUGAUUUCCUUCUCACCCUGCUAUAGUCUUCUUGGGUACUGAGGUGAGGGGUUUUCUUGCAGUCUUUUAACCUUCAUUAUUGUUGGGAGAGUAUUUCUAGUUCCAGACACCAGUCAGGUAGUGAUUCUGCUUUUAUUUACCACACCAACAGUAACUAACUGACUUCACCUGACUUCAUUUAAUUGAAAUACUUCAUGAUGAAUAUAUUUGUUUCUUUGAGUAGAGCUGCCAUAUGUUUUUUUAAUAUCUUUAUAGUGACAUCAGUGUGGAGACAAGAAUUGAAUUUAUUUGUUGUCUCAGUAACUGGUAUUUAUUUGUGUCUCUCUCCCAUGUAAAUGGGAUUGGAUAAUUUUAUUGUUUUAAAAGCAAAUGCUUUAUGUUAAAACCCAGUGUAGAUCAAGAGUUAGCUAUCUAAGAAAUACAGUAUUUCUUUCCAGAACAGGCAGCUGAGCAGGUAAUGUAGCAGGCCAUAGAGUAGAUGAGCAAUCAGGUCAGAGAAUGUCUUUAAGAUCCCUGAUAUUUUCUUAAUUAAUACUGAGUUCAAGACAAAAUAAUUGGGCCUUUUAGCUCCCUAGAAAUAUGUUUCAAGCAGACAAUAAAUUUGUAAAUCCUCUGGAUGCACUGGAUUUCUUGCCCUGUCCCCCCUGCUUGCAGGUGGUUUUUCAUUUUUUUAACCCACUGAAUCAUUUCUCUCUCUAUACAUCUGGCUCUCAAGCAACAAGCUUUAGGGUCAGGGCCUGCAGACAGCGAUACACACACUGUUUGCCAAGACAGUUCUCCUACACUUUCUGCUUUAUUUGGUGUUCCCUGUUUGAUAUAUCUCACCUUUCCUGCUAUUACUGUCUCCUAUUACUGCUUUUGCUUCUCCUUCUUUCCACUGUGCAUCUGUUCACACACAGAGAUCCAGGAAAGGGUAAAAAAACAUUUUCUGCUCUUCAUAUUGAUGGUUGGAACUGGGAUUUAAAUUGUUUUUGAGGUCUAAUCUGAUUGAACACUCUGCACAUAGUUAAGAGCAGGUUCUUGUUUGAAAAGAUUGUUUGUGUGCAGCUGCAUAUUUUUAUUCUGCUUCAUUCUACUGUUCAAAUUAUAUCCUUUGGUAAGAUUAGUACAUUUAUAGAAAAGAAAGCAGAGAUUUUAUUGCUGAAGCAGAUAUUAAAAGACAUUAUAUUAAACCACUGAACAAGAGCUUUCUUUCAGUGAUACCAAGUAAGAAUUAAUCUCCAGCAUCUUCAGAAGAAAGAAAUCAAAUUUCAUGCUUCUGUGCUCCCUGAAUAUUACAAGGUGAAGUGAAUCCUGAUAGGUGUGAAAGAACUCACCACCAAUGGUGGUGGAGUAGUCCGGGCUGUUGUCGGUAGUAGUUUCAUCUUUCGGAUGUUACUCUGCACUGUCGUUUGGCCAUACAGUUACUGCAUGAGUUAGGUGUGUGUUUUUCCUAAGGCAAUUGAUACUGACUCUGAUCUCCAGGCUAUUAUAGAGUAAAAUGGGUGAAGUUUGUCUUGAGUGAUUGAAUUUUGACCAUAAGCUGGAGUGAUAGCUGCCUUUAAAUGAAAUGUCUCAGAUCACACACUGAAGGAGGGACCAGUGGGGACGCUGUAGUGACCAAGGCCUAUGUUUUGGACCUGCUGCAAGAGGGAUAUUGAGGGGAAAAAAGCAGUUUCAAAAACUUCAUGGCAUGCUGAAGUGAAGAGUGCUCUCUGCUACUUGCAGGCUUGGAGUGCCUCUGUAGUGUUACAGUGAUAUAGCCAGCAGGACUCUGCAUAGCUCAGACUGACUGUGCUGCUGAGCCACCAAAACAGCCAGAGCACGCUUCAUCCUUCACAAAUAGUAACAGAAUUAGUAAUUGGGAACACCAAGGCGACCUUUCACCAACCCGAAGAGAAUGUCCUCAUCCCGUCGAGAUCCAUGGGCGUAUUGUGUCCUGCCUCCCAGCACUGUCCCCUUCAUGCCAGGACAAGGGGUAGUUGAAGCUCAGGGAGUUGGCAGAGGCACAUGUUUCCUGGCUGUAGGGAACUAGCUGGAGAACAGAAUAUGUUUAGUGGAGCUGUAAGGUGAGCUCAGAGCUGGUGAGGACCAUCAGCUGGUCUCAGUUGAGAUCUAAUGCAACAGAAGUGGUGGAAAACCAAGUCUGUAGUCAGCGCCGAGCCUGGGAUCAAACAAUUUUCCCAACUUGCUGUAUGGGACAAGUCCCUGCCACACAAGAGUCAUGUGGGAGAAGAAAAGUCCCAGAAUGUGCUUCAAUUUAUUCCUGCCAACAUACUGAUCGUUAAUAAAAGCCUU